AAUGGGUCAGCGACUUAUAUUCUGUAGCAAGGUUAACCGAAUAGGGGAGCCGAAGGGAAACCGAGUCUUAACUGGGCGUUAAGUUGCAGGGUAUAGACCCGAAACCCGGUGAUCUAGCCAUGGGCAGGUUGAAGGUUGGGUAACACUAACUGGAGGACCGAACCGACUAAUGUUGAAAAAUUAGCGGAUGACUUGUGGCUGGGGGUGAAAGGCCAAUCAAACCGGGAGAUAGCUGGUUCUCCCCGAAAGCUAUUUAGGUAGCGCCUCGUGAAUUCAUCUCCGGGGGUAGAGCACUGUUUCGGCAAGGGGGUCAUCCCGACUUACCAACCCGAUGCAAACUGCGAAUACCGGAGAAUGUUAUCACGGGAGACACACGGCGGGUGCUAACGUCCGUCGUGAAGAGGGAAACAACCCAGACCGCCAGCUAAGGUCCCAAAGUCAUGGUUAAGUGGGAAACGAUGUGGGAAGGCCCAGACAGCCAGGAUGUUGGCUUAGAAGCAGCCAUCAUUUAAAGAAAGCGUAAUAGCUCACUGGUCGAGUCGGCCUGCGCGGAAGAUGUAACGGGGCUAAACCAUGCACCGAAGCUGCGGCAGCGACGCUGAUGCGUUGUUGGGUAGGGGAGCGUUCUGUAAGCCUGUGAAGGUGUGCUGUG
rnacentral:rRNA from 1 species